rnacentral:rRNA from 1 species
UGGAGGUAGUGACAAUAAAUCACAAUGCGGAACCUUUGGUUUUGCAAUUGGAUUGAGAAGAAGGUACAAAUCAUAUCGAUAAACAAUUGGAGGGCAAGUCUGGUGCCAGCAGCCGCGGUAAUUCCAGCUCCAAUAGCGUAUAUUAACGUUGUUGCAGUUAAAAAGCUCGUAGUUGAAGUUGGAUGAGUAUUUGAAUUCAAUUUUCGAAUUGAUUUCAAAUCCUUAUCAUUUCUAGUAGUUAUGCUUGGGUAUUCAAUUACUUGAGUAUGAUAGCUAGUCAUUUACUGUGAGAAAAUUAGAGUGUUUAAAGCAGACGUUUGUUUGAAUAGAUUAGCAUGGAAUAAUAAUGAUAUGCUUGAUUUCAUUGAUUGGUUAUGAAAGAUAGCAAGAUUAAAAGGGACAGUUGGGGGUAUUCAUAUUCAAUAGUUAGAGGUGAAAUUCUCGGAUUUAUGGAAGAUGAACAAGUGCGAAAGCAA